AGGAGGACGUGCACGUAGUUAAUUUCGCUCUCCGGACGGAAGGCGAUGGACACCUGAACGGGACAUACGGGUGUAGAAACGGAGGCUUAGCCGGUGAUGCUGAAUGGAUGGGGGGCCAUGGCGACGUCACGCGGAGCACCCAGCCGCGCAGCGCACGAGCCAGCGCAAGACGACAUUGGAGACGCGCGAGACGAUCUCAGCCGCAGCGCACACCUUGUUUCUGAGAAAACCAAUCUGCAUGAUAUAUUCUGAAGGACAGGACCCCAUGACAUAGGUCCGAAUCCGAGCUCCUCAUUUUCCCCCUGUGGCUGGAAGAGAUGGUUGGCCGAAGGGGUUGGCUGUUAUCUUUGGUUAUCUAGCUGUAUGAGUGAUGUACGUUCUUCAUAAAGCUAGAUAACCGAAAGUAACAAGAAUCCCAUUACACACCUGAAAGGCCACAACCAUCCAACACGUCACAACCCACCUCUUGCUCUCUUUUCUCACAAAGCCAACAACAUGAAAUAGCAUCCAGGGUGAGCAGAAUCGACGUCCAAUCUCUAUAUGGAAAAGAUGCCAGUGAAAAGGAAGGAAAACAUGGUGGAUGCUAAGGAGGGGGGCGGGUUGGUGUUGAGACUCUCUGUGCACCACUAUGCAUUGCUGCUCUCAGCCCCUCCUCUAGCUGCCUGCCUGCCCCUUCCUCUUGUGACGAGCGGCAAUCCAUGCUUUACCACCAUCUUAGAGAGUGCUGGCAUGAAAUGGAAGAGGGAGGAAAAACGAGCAGGUGAUGGAAGAAUAAAAGAGGAUUUUAUAAAUGACAUCUGAUGACGGAUGACAAAGCAAUGCCUGCUGAUGAAACACUUGACCCAGAUGUCUGCACCAUUUUAUUGUGUGCCCCAACAUUGUAACAUUCAAGCACUUUAAAUGCUAUUUUUAAGUAUGCUUACAUUUUUUUUUAAUGCUUUUGUUCUUCUGUUAAGAUAAAUAUCUACUGUAAAAUUUAGAUUUUUUUUUAUUAUUAUCUGCCAUUCUUAUAUCAGCUAUGUAUGCUUUACCUGGACAUAUAAUUGAAAAUGCAAAGAAAACUAGUUUGCUACAUAACAAAAUGCUGCGUUUUUCUAAAUUAAUGAAUACUUUAAAUGUAUAUAAUGUAUCCAUUAUAUACAUUUAUGUAUGUAUGUAUGUAUGUAUGUAUGUAUGUAUGUAUGUAUGUAUGUAUCUUUAUGGCCCAAAAAGUUCACCUGGUCAAAUUUGCUUGGAUAGCAGAAACUUUAGAAUCAUUAGCAUAGAGCACUUUAAACAUUCAUGCAUUCAUGCAGCCUUUCCUUCUUUCUUUUCUUGUGCCUUGUGUUUAAUGUCCCAGACAAGGUUCAACAGCAUCUGUUAUGAUAGAAAUGACACAGUGUAAUCUGAUUGUAAUGUUAUAUUCAAAAUGAAGUGUUAAUUAUUAGAUUCCGCAAACUGCUGAACUAAUGGUGUAGCGAUCAUGAAUGUGAGACCCACGGCAGCAGCGAAGGGUUACUGCACUGCGAUUGAACAGCUCCGUGUGUUGAUAUUUACACACCUGAAAUAUAUAGAGCUGUUUUCUUUAUUCUCUAUGCAACUGAGUCGGUCAUGCAAUCAUCACUGAUCAGUGCAGGACCUGUCCUGGGCAGAUUAUUUACAUUUGAAACUGAUAUUUUAAAUAUGUUCUAAACAAUAUGGGUGUACUGUUAAUGAGGAAAAAAUAUAUUAUAUAUACCUUACUUAACAAGGUUGGUGUAAAUUUGUUUUGACUCUGCAGUCUAACUGCAAUCUUAAUUGUGUUUCACGUUAUGACAAUUAUGUAAAAUACUACUAUUAAUACUAGUAGUGAUACUACUAAUAAUCCUGCUAUUUCAUUUAUUAUUUAGAGUAAAUAUGCUUAUAAUUAAAUUUGAGCAGAGGCAAACUUAUUAUAUAAUAAUCUAUGCAAAUCUAUAAAUAUUUGAUCAUAUUAAUGAGGAUUGUGCAAUUAAUUUUGAGUACCAUUUUAUUUUUUUUACAAUGGACAGCGAUGUCCUUAAAUCUUUUAAAGAAAAUAUUUUUUUUUAAUAAAUGUGAGUACUAUGAUUUAAAAUCAUUUACUAUGCAAUUUUAAAUCAAAAUGGUGUUUGUUUAAAUGUUGUUGUUAAUAUUUUUCUGUGUGAAAUCUUAUCUCUGUUAAGACUAACAUAAGUAUAAUUUUUUUAUUAGAUUAUUUGUGGCAUUUAACCCAUCUGUCCUGUAAUGCUUACUAAUAAAAUUUGACAUU